UAGACUAUGAAAUAUUUUCAAAGGAUUGUUUCUUGAUCAGAUGAUGAGAAGAUGGAUCUUGAGACCCUAUGUCUCCGCAUGCAUUAUGUUAAAGCUGGUUGUAGCUGGUAUUGAGAUCAAACAUUCCACUUUCUUUGGCAAGAACUGGAAUCUUAUUUUUGCACAUCCAAUCUGUGCUUUGCAGAAAAACCUACAAUCCAUCACAAACAAACAAAACGAACAAAAAUUUUCUGCCCCAGCUUGCACUAGAAAAUUUUUGUGAGUUAUUGAAAAUACAAUAAAACUAUCUUUGCUAUUGCAGAAUAAAGAAUUAAAAAAGAAAUGGGCUUUUUGUUUUGAUGAUUGGGGAUGUCGUACCCUAUGUUAACAAGAAGGAAGGCAACUAGGGGAUGUAGUAACAAUAAGAUGUGACUCGUGGCACUCUAGGAAAAUACUAAGGAAUGUCUUACCCUAUGUUGGAAGCAAGAAAUAAAACCAGGGGAUGUAGUACCCUGUGUUGGCAAUAAGAUGAGGCUCAUGGCACUUUGGGAUACUACUAGGGAAUGUCAUACCCCAUGUUGGCAACAAGUAAUGUAACUAGGGAAUGUAGUACCCUGUGUUGGUAAUAAGGUGAGGUUCGUGGCACUUUGGAAUGCUACUAGGGAAUGUCGUACCCCAUGUUUGCAAUAAGGAAUGCAACCAGAGGGUGUAGUACCCUAUGUUGGCAAUUAAGAGGAGGCUCGUGGCACUCUGGAAUGCUACUAGGGAAUGUCAUACCCUAUGUUGGCAAUAGGAUGAGGCUCGUGGAGCUUUGAGAUGCUACUAGGGAAUGUCGUACCCUAUGUUGGCAAUAAAAUGAGGCUCGUGGUGCUUUGAGAUACUACUAGGGAAUAUCGUACCCUAUAUUGGCAGAAAGUAAUGCAGCAAGGGGAUGUAGUACCCUGUGUUGGUAACAAGAUAAGGCUCGUGGCGCUCUGAGAUGCUACUAGGGAAUAUCGUACCCUAUGUUGGCAGAAAGUAAUGCAGCCAGGGGAUGUAGUACCCUGUGUUAGCAAUAAGAUGUGGCUUGUGGCACUCUGGGAUGCUACUAGGGAAUGUCGUACCCUAUGUUUGCAACAAGAAAUGCAACCAGGGGAUGCAGUGCCCUGUGUUGAAGAUAGGGUAUUGGUUCCCUAAAAUGAAACUAAAAAUAAAAUGAUUACAUGUAUAUUGGAAGAAAAUCAAGGAUUUGAGAACUUCACUUGGUGGUGUUCGUCUUUUCUCGAACGGUUUCCUACAACUGUUCUGUUCCUGUUCUGAACAAAGAAAGAAUCGUUAGUUUUAAAAUGGAGGUCAUUUUGUGGCCUUGAUUAUUUCGAUCUCUUGAUCUCGGCUCAUCUUCUUCUCAACUGCAACUGAUUAUUUCCUGAAUACCAACUCCAUUUCUGACCCCGGAGAACCUUUGGCAUUUCUAAACUCUGCCAUGACAGUUGGUCGUGUAGGACUUAACCUUUUUCAACUUUAUUUUGCCUUUGUGGGCAUUUUGCUUUUUGGCUUCUUUCAAAGUUUUCCAUUUCAAAACAUCGGCCAAUCAUGGACAGUCGGGGUCGACUUGAUGCCCUUGCCGAGGCUGGGCGCCUUUUGAAUAUAUCAGCUCGCUUCAAACGAGAACCCUGUAAAUCGGUCUUGCCGUUUUUUCUUUGCCUUAUUUUUUUAAACAAAGUUAGAUCGAAAGGGAUUCAAAGAAAUAUAAACAAUGGAAUAGAGAAUGAGUUUAAAACAAGAGGGGUCCCUUUUGGGGAACAGAAAGACGGACUUAUCUGGGAGUACAUGCGGACUUCAAUGAAUAUGACAUGCCUUUUGGACAGGAUGUCUGAUCUGUGUAAACUGUCCGACUCUUAGAAACUCAUCAUAACUUUUGACUUGAAACCGAAAAAUCUUACUCAGGACUGUGUUGAUGCCAUGGCUGCGUGGUUCCUCUUUUCGAUCAACAGUACCCUUUGCGGGUUUUCACUAGCUGUUCUCUCUUAUUUAUCUUCUCGCCAUCGCCUUAUAGUGCCCUUUGCGAGUUUUCACUAACAAGAGUCUCUCAUUUUUAUUUUCUCUACUCUUCAUCACCCUACAGUGCCCAUGAGGGUUUUCAUCAAUAUGACUCUCUCAUUUUAUUUCUCUCAUUUGAUUGCAUCCGAUCCAAAUAACUGUAUCCUCCAAUUCUUGAACAUUAUUGUCGAUUGAUCGGAAGGACUUGAAAGGAUUUGGGUAAAAAGAAUUUGGAUUAAAUUAGAACUUUGGAACCUUUCUGGCGAAACCUUCAUCGAACCAUUGUAACAUCUGCCCCAGUUUUCAGUUUUAGGGAAUGUGGAUAUUUGUUUUGGUGUAACCGAACUCCAGAGUGAGGCUGCCUACGUAUCCUUUCAGAAUCAGGUCGGACGUAUUUCAAUUAACAUGAACUUGUUUUGGACUCUUUUUUUUUUAUCUUUUCUUUUUUUUAUUUUUAUCAUUUUUUAUUUUUUUUUCAAUCCCUUUCUUUUCUUUUUCUUUUUCAUUACAUACAAGGUUCCAAAGAGGGUGGCCAAGGAAAAAAUAUCUGGCUCAAAGGUAACGCAUAGGGUUAAUAGUAUUUGGGUAGUGAUAAUGAAAGCCUUCGUCAUCCCAAUCAGAGAGCAAUUUGCGUAAAGGGUCAAACAUAAUACCUUUUGACCGCGUCUGCAUUGACAGUUGUAUCAGGAAUAUUUUCUUCGAUGUCUCCCAAAUACAGUACUCCCUUCGGCAGCACUCUUGUUACAAUGUAUGAAUCUUCCAAUUCGGGCCAAAUUUUUCUUUAGCUUCCUCGUGAUGCAGAAGAAUACGCCUCAGAACGAGUUGCCCUACUUCAAAAUUCUUGGGCCGCACUUUCUUGUUGUAGGCACGGGCCAUUCUUUGUUGGUACAACUGCCUGUGACAAACUGCAGCCAAUCACUUUUCAUCAACCAAAGUCAAUUGCUUCAAUCGGGUCUUGACCCAAUCUUCAUCUUCGAACUCAAUUUCAACAAUGAUCCGAAGAGUGGGAAUUUCAACUUCUACUGAUAUCACGACUUCAGUGCCAUAAACCAAUCAAGUAAGGGCAGUUUUCGUUUGGACUUGGUUUAGACUUGUUGUCCUAAUUCUCAGUUAAUUUUCUUACAAGCCAUAUCUUCGGCACAUUCUACUUAUUGAUUUAUUAUUUCAAGGUCUAACGGCGUUUUAAGAUCUGGGCAUGAAGUCCGCAAGCAUGUCAUGUUAUUAAAAUCUGCAUGUAACAGAACUAGAAAGAAAGUAAGAAAAGUGACAAGAGUAAGAAAAGAGACAUUCAUGGAUGAUGAAAUAUUAAUUUCAUUUAUUUGAAUUUAUUUAUUUUAAAAAAAAAGAUAGAAGGGUUUACAUCAGAAACUAAGAUAAUAGAGUAAAAAUAUUCGGAUUACACCCUGAAAUAACCCAAAAUGCAGAAAAGACAGUAAGACCGGCUACCGAGACUCCCGUCCGAUAGGGAACUUUUCAAGUCUGGCGACUGCUUUUAGUUUUUUCUUCUAUCAUGGCCAUGGCUACAAUGGCUUUUAGUGUCACAUCAAAUUCCUUGUCAUCACAAAUCAUUCCAAUGACUGGCCCUUUGUUAUGAGUAGGCAAAAGAUUGGUCGUCACAUUAGAGGCCUCUUCUUCCCUAAGAACUAUUGCCUUGACCUCAAUGAGGUCCUCUACUGCUCUUUUAAGAGUCCAACAGUGCUCAGUAUCGUGUCUCACUGCUCCAGAGUGAUAUUCACAUCUAGCAUCAGCUCGGUGCGGAGAGGGACUUGUAGUCGGCCAGUUCGGGGCCACUAGUUGCAGCAGACCUAGCCUGGUUAGCUUUUGGAAUAAACUUGAACAUGAUUCACCAAUAAGGGUGAACUGAUUCCUUCUAGGAGGCUCUCUUGGGUGAGGAUCGCAUUGGAAAAAUAUUUAUCGGGGACUAUACGGAGCUUAGUAGGGACGGGCAUUUCUGAGAGGUGGAGCUCAGUUUUGUGGCCGGGUGUAUGAUUGUGCAUUCAUCACCGUCUAGUGUGCCGGUGCCACGGCAUAUGCAGCAUCAUGGUGCGGGUAAUAAUGUUUGCGGUCUUUUGGAUAGCAUAUAUGAUUGGUUGAAUGACUAGCGGCCCCCCUCGAGCUCGAAGCUAUCAUGGCUCCCUCUUCUCUUUUUGUCCUGUUCGUCAAACCCCCCUAAUCAUUCUGAACAGCCUGUGAUAUGGCCUUAAAGGAAACCUGACUUAGUAUUCUUCCCGUCUUCAAACCAUUUUCGAUUAUUUCCCCAAUUUUAGUAGCCUCAGUGAACGACUUUCCCAUGCACGACAUCAUAUUUUGGAAGUAGUGUGACUCUUGGGCCUGCAGAAAGACCUUAACCAUCUCCCCUUCAUCAAUUGGAGGCUUUACCCUAGCGGCCUGAUCUCGCCACUUGACAGCAUAUUCACGAAAACUUUCCGUGGGCUCUCUUUUCAAAUUGGACAACGAAAUUUCUAUCAGGAGCAAUAUCCACAUUGUACUAGAACUGGCAGACAAAGUCUUGGGCUAGGUCAUCCCAGACAUGCCAAUGAGCGAUAUCUUGAUCCAUGUACCACUCGGAAGCAAUUCCUGUCAAACUUUUCCCAAAAUAGGCCAUGAGCAAUUCUUCUUUGCCUCUCGCUUCCCUUAUGAGGGUUACAAUACCUCUUCAGAUGGGCCAUAGGAACACCAUGCCCAUCGUACUUAUCAAAUUUGGGGGUCUUGUAAGGGUAAAUCGCCAGUUUAAACCAUAAACCAACCAUCUUUGUUUAACUUUAUCUUUUAUGACAAACAACAAAUGUGUUAGAGUUAGGCAUUUUAUAUAUAUUAGCCACACAUUGUAUAUCAUGCACCUAAUGCCAUUUUUAUUUUUAAAAUAAGCUUAGAAGGCUUCAUGCUUCAUCUUGGCUUAUUGGUUUAUUUUAUCUUGACUUUAACACUCUCUUUUUUUCUUUUUUUUUUGUCAAUCAUUUUCCUCAUUUUAUUUUUUUACUCUUUUGUGAUUUUAAAAGAAUUUUGAUCGAACCCGUUGGAGUUUGCCUACGUAUCAUGUUGAACAAGAAUCAGAUCAUUACGUAGUUCAGGAAGAUCAGGAAUAAAGUAAAUAAACUAACUCUAUUUUUUUUACUCUUUAAAAAAAUAUAUAAUCGUAAAAGCUCCUAACAAGGAAAAUAUUUUUGGAUUUUAUAUUUUUUUUUAUUGGAAAUAUUCGAAAGAAAGGCUUCUAAACAAGAAAGAAAAUAUUUUUGAAUUUUUAAAUUUGAUGUCUCCAAGAAAAAAUUCUAAAGAAGGAAUUAAAGGAAAAUAUUUUUGGAUUUUUGAAAAUUGAGGGCCGGAACCGAUGAGGUUUGCCUACGUAUCUCACAUCCGGUGAGAAUCAGACCCGCGUAGUUCGGUAAGUUUUGACACAACAGGAAAAACAUGACUUUUUAAAAAUAUUGGCUCAUUUUGAAAUGACUUUUUCUUUUUUUCUCUUUUUUUAUUCAAAAUUUCGGCACAGUUUCAGGGUUUUCAAAUACCUGGAUUUUUUAGAAAUCGGGUAAAUUUUCUCUCUCCUGUCUUACUUUUGGUUUUUUUUGGUUUCCUUUCCCUAUUCUAGAAGCCUGUCAACAUACUAACUGAAACAAACAUAUGCACAAGUAGUACGUAAAAAUGCAUCAGGAUGGUCUUUAUAUUGGGUGUACCUGUCCUAGACGGACCCAACCCCUGUGUUGAGUCCUCAAAAUCUAAUGCAUGUGAUGUAAACAAACGUUCCUACUAUGGAUCCGGCAUGAGGCUAUGUGAUUCUAAGUUUAAAUCUUGGGGGGGUGUUUUAGACCUGGCUUACCCAAGAGGACAGCUCGAGCCGAGGUGGGGGCAACGUACCGGGAGCACGAAAGUCUAUCCGGCCUAGUUACUGACCCAACCUCGUUCUAAUUGGUAUGACCUCUAACAGAAAAGUGGGUCACGCGCACGUGUGCACUAAUAAAUUCAGAAGUCUCAGAAGGGAGGCGUAAGAAGAUAAUUUAAUACAGUUCAAAUAAUAUCAAAGCAGUAAAUAAGCGGCAAUUAGCACAUUAGGCCCACAAAUACAAUAAUCAUACAAUCAAUAAAGCCAAGUAUAGAUCACAUUACAAGCUCGAAUUCUGAACCCAAACCAGAAGUUUUGUGUUUGUGUCCCCAGAAGAGUCGCCAGAGCUGUCACACCUCAUUUUUCCCUAGGGAUAGGGCGUUUUUCUAAUUUAAGUGACAUUAAUCGAAAUAGGAUUAUUUAUUAGAUUCAGAGUCGCCACUUGGAAUAAAUAUUUAUGGUGUCCCAAGUCACCAUUUAUUUUAAAAUUCCAAUUCAAGGAAAAUUGACUAUGUUUAAGUCUGCAAAACAUAGAAGACCGGGUAAGAAAUUCUGUUAACCCGGAAGAAGGUGUGAGGUACUCCCGAAUUCCGUGAUUUUAGCACGGUCGCUUUACAAUUACAGUUGGCUUAAUUAUAUGAUUAUUACGCAUUUUACCUUUGGGCAUUUUAAUCUUUUAUCGCUUUUAAAUUACUUUGUUAUUAGAGUGUAGAAUUAUCUUCGAAACAGAUUACAUGUGUGUGAAUCCAUUUUGUUUAGUAUGUUAAUAUCAUGUCACGCGUACGUGUACACGGUUAAUAACAACUAAUUAAUUAUGAAGAUUGUUUGGCCAAAGUCGCGCGAACGCGUACCUUGAAUUAUUUUAGAAAUCAUAAUUAUGUCACGCGAACGUGUACAUAAUCAUGAUGACUUGAUUAAGAGCGCGCCUAAAAGCACACUAUCAUUUUUUGAAUAUGUACGACAUUAUUCAGUAUAAAAGAAAUGGGCCAGCUUAUUCAUAAUGUGCGGGUGUUCUAAUUUUGGCCCAUUUAACUCAACUAAUAGUCUAUAUACUCAAAUGAAUAUCUAAAGCACAACUAUUUGCAAGGUCAAACACUAGCCCAUUAAUAUGAACGAAUCUUCAUUCUUUAAUUCUAAAAAAUUAAUUAAAAUAAAAUCUUGUUCAACUAAUCUGCUUAGCAAAUAACUUGAAACAUACAAAGGAAUCUGAAGCCAUAGCAAUUAUAAACAAUGGUAAUAAACAAAAUGGCAUAGCAAAUCUCUCAUAAAUUCCCAUUUUUAGCAUAUAAACCAAGAACAAUCUUAAGCAAUUUGGACAAAAUUCCAUGAGCUAUGCGUAAACUAAUCAAGCGCGCAUUUGAACUCUUAAACUGACAGUUGUCAACUCAGCAAAUAACUAACAAGAUCUUUUAGGUAUGUAAGUUAACAAAAUUUGAAGAGAGAAAAAUAAAAGAUAAGAAUGAACCUCAAAGGCAAUAAACUUUGUUCAAUAUUGAGAAGGCAAACUUAUACAACGGAGUAUCCUUCUGCUAUCCAAAGUGAAACCUCAUCAACGGAACCGGACUGGAAACUUCGUCGUAAAACUUUGAACGGCAACCUCGACUAUCUUUGUGGUGGUUUAAAGUCUGAUUGGCGUUGGUUCUUGGACUAAUUAUCGGAACUGUUUUGCAGGUGUUUUAUGGCUUCUUUUUGUGGGGUUUUUGCUGGUAUUUCAGCAGUGUCUCGGGGUCAUUUCAGGUGGAAGAAAGCAGCCGGUUAGUUGUAGUUUUGGGGUGCUUUGUUGGCUGAAAGAAUGGCUGAUUCCUUGAUAUUUGUAGGUGGUUACAUGGCCGUUGAGGGGUGGGUUUUGGAGCUGCUACAUGGCUGUGAUGAUGGAUCGGAGUACUCGAGCGGCUCUAAUGGAGGAAAUUACAUAGAUGAUUUUGUGUGAGCAAAAACCAAGAUGAUUGCCUAAGGUUUGCCUAAUUGUUCUCCCUUUACUAAAGUGUGUGUGUGCUAUAUAUAGAAUGUAUGUGCGUGACGGAUGUGUGGAAGUGGGAAUGUG
rnacentral:lncRNA from 1 species